rnacentral:rRNA from 1 species
UACGAAGGGGGCUAGCGUUGUUCGGAAUUACUGGGCGUAAAGCGCGCGUAGGCGGACAUUUAAGUCAGGGGUGAAAUGCCGGGGCUCAACCUCGGAACUGCCUUUGAUACUGGAUGUCUGGAGUUCGGGAGAGGUGAGUGGAAUUCCGAGUGUAGAGGUGAAAUUCGUAGAUAUUCGGAGGAACACCAGAAGCGAAGGCGGCUCACUGGCCCGAUACUGACGCUGAGGCGCGAAAGCAUGGGGAGCAAACAGG